AGUCCUUUGGAAUCUCUAGCGAUGGUUUGACCUUUUCACUUAGAAUCAAUUUUGAGUUUUGAGGGCUAAAAUCAAAAUCACGUAAAACUUGCUUUAUGAAAUUUGAUUCUAAUUUUGGACUCAAAAUUUAAAUUAUUAUUUAAAUUUUAGAUUCAAAUAUAAAAUUAAAAUUAAAAUUUUAAUUUAAAAUUUAAAAUUUAAUAUUUAAAUUUUAAAUUAAAUUUAAAUUUUUAAAAUUUCAAAUAUUUAAAAUUUAAAAUUUAGAUUUAACUAUUAAAUUUAAAAUUUUUAAUUUCAAAUCUCAAAUGUCAAAAUUCAAAAUUCAAAAUUGAUUAUAUGAUUAUUUUUGUGCUUGUUUAGUCCUACUUUUGAAAUCACUUGUUUAUUUCGAAAAAAUAAUAACCUUAAAUUUUCUGAUUGCGGUGAAGCAGAAAAAAUAUUUUGAACCACAAAAAGGAUUAAAAAAAAUUUUAGUUCGUGAGGUGUGUCGAUUACCACGUGCAUUUUGUUGUCUCAAAAUAACCCAACCAACGAAGUUGGGCUUCAACUGAAAUAGUAAAAUGAUGACAAGCUUUUUUUAUUUUUUUUUCCAGCCCACGUUCAGAAUAUAAUAACAAAUGAACAUGAAUUAAGAUGCACUUACCCAUACAAUGCAGCAUAUUCUUUCAGUCUUUACCUUGUUUAUUUCCAAUUGACUCAUUAUGCAAUAAGUUUGAGCAUACAUCCUUUCAUCUACUCGAUCACAUCUCUCCAACAAGUCCUAUUCUCUCACUUAUAUACAUCCUUUCAUCUCUUCUUUCUCAUUUCUUUCUAAUAGAGCGCUCCAAUACUAUGUUUUGCCAAGAUUGAACUUGAUGCAAUUAACUUGGCUACCUCAUCCAAAACAAUACUCUUGACUAAAAAAUUUCCCGGUUCAAAAGAUCAUUCCAACCAAC
rnacentral:lncRNA from 1 species